rnacentral:rRNA from 1 species
GGCGAUCAGAUACCGCCCUAGUUCUGACCGUAAACGAUGCCAACUAGCGAUCCGCUAGUCGACUCAUCGCUCUGGUGGGGAGCUUCCCGGAAACGAAAGUCUUCCGGUUCCGGGGGAAGUAUGGUUGCAAAGCUGAAACUUAAAGGAAUUGACGGAAGGGCACCACCAGGAGUGGAGCCUGCGGCUUAAUUUGACUCAACACGGGGAAACUCACCCGGCCCGGACACCGUAAGGAUUGACAGAUUGAUAGCUUUUUCAUGAUUCGGUGGAUGGUGGUGCAUGGCCGUUCUUAGUUCGUGGAGCGAUUUGUCUGGUUUAUUCCGAUAACGAGCGAGACUCUGGCCUACUAAAUAGUUGGCACAUUGCCACUGUGUGCCCAACUUCUUAGAGGGAUUUUCGGUGUUCAGCCGCACGAAAUUGAGCAAUAACAGGUCUGUGAUGCCCUUAGAUGUCCGGGGCUGCACGCGCGCUACACUGGCAAAAUCAGCGUGCUUGUCCUCCCCCGAAAGGGGUUGGUAAACCGAUGAAAAUUUGCCGUGAUUGGGAUCGGACAUUGCAAUUAUUGUCCGUGAACGAGGAAUCCCUUGUAAGGGCGAGUCAUCAACUCGUCCUGAAUACGUCCCUGCCCUUGUA